GCUAUCAAAUUUUUACUUAUUUAAAUUUACAAUCGGAGGAAACAAAUUUUCGUUGCUCGAUUACGCCAUCUGAUGUCGAUUAAAGGAAUUAUACAUUAUUUUCGUCCUUUGCACGUGUGAUAUAAUCGUCAUGCCAAGAAUUUCAAAAUAUCCAUUUGCUCUUGUUUUAUUGCAAAGCACUGCCAGUAAGCAUUCGUUAACUAUGAGACGACGAGUGCGAACUCCCAGACUAGAGUUUGUUCGAUAUGAUCCGCACGGUAAGUGAACAUGUUAAAUUUAUAUUUAAUUAGUGUGUCGUCAUAUUAUUUUAAAAUUAAUUUUUUAAUACAUUUUACAAUACUAAUAAAAAAUUUAUGUUUUUAUCUAUUGAAUUGAUCUGAAAAUCUGUACUCAUAAUUUGUUGUAAUCUCAAAAUUCAAUUUUGACUGACUUUCAACAUCAUGUAUUGUGACCGAUAUAUACAUGUAUGCAAUAACUUCAUUCAUUAUUAUGAUACUUAAGGUUAUCUUAAGUCAAAUUCUAUAAUUUACCUUAAAAGUGUGUCAGUCUACCAGUGUGGCCACAGUGGAUUAAAUUACUGAACACUGGUAGUUGGUUUGCUACAUGGAGUUUUCCAGAUUUUCUUCAUGUUAGUAACACCUAAAUAGGGACCAGUUUCUCAUAAAAGUCCUCCCCCUUGACAGAUUGUCCAUAUAUUACGUUGCCAUAAUCAAAUGAAAUCA